rnacentral:rRNA from 1 species
GACGAACCGUGCAAACGUUAUUCGGAAUCACUGGGCAUAAAGGGCGCGUAGGCGGCUUUCUAAGUCAGGGGUGAAAUCCGGCAGCUCAACUGUCGCAGUGCCUUUGAUACUGGAGAGCUCGAGGGAGGUAGGGGUCUGUGGAACUUCCGGUGGAGCGGUGAAAUGCGUUGAUAUCGGAAGGAACGCCGGUGGCGAAGCGACGGACUGGAUCUCUUCUGACGCUGAGGCGCGAAAGCCAGGGGAGCAAAGCGGG